rnacentral:rRNA from 1 species
CGGCUGCGGUAUUCUGACCGUGCAAAGGUAGCAUAAUAAUANGCUCUUUAAUUGGGGGCUUGUAUGAAAGGAAGUUUAAAAGCUUGACUGUCUCUUCUUUAUUUUGUAAAUUUCUAUUAUUGUGAAGAAGCAAUAUUAUAAAUAAAAGACAAGAAGACCCUAUUAAGCUUUACUUUUUUUUUAGCUUUUUUCUUUUAAGAAAUUAAUUAAUUUUUAAAAAGUUUGGUUGGGGUGACUAAAGAAGAUUAAAAUCUUCUUUAUAAUAAUAAACUUUUAGUUUAACAAUGACCCAAAAUGUUUUGGUUGUAAGAACUAGUUACUAUAGGGAUAACAGCGUAAUUUUUUCAUAAAGUUCUGAUUAAAGAAAAAGAUUGCGACCUCGAUGUUGACUUGUUUUCUCCUAUUAUGGUGCAACAGCUAAAAGGGUUAGUCUGUUCGACUAUUAAA